AUGCCCCUACAGGGCGCAGCAGUGGGGGAUAUUGCACAAUGGGGGGAACCCUGAUGCAGCGACGCCGCGUGGGCGAUGGAGCGCCUCGGCGCGUAAAGCCCUAUCAGCAGGGAAGAAGAUGACGGUACCUGACUAAGAAGCCCCGGCUAAAUACGUGCCAGCAGCCGCGGUAAUACGUAGGGGGCAAGCGUUAUCCGGAUUUACUGGGUGUAAAGGGAGCGUAGACGGUGUGGCAAGUCUGAAGUGAAAGCCCGGGGCUCAACCCCGGGACUGCUUUGGAAACUGUCAUGCUGGAGUGCUGGAGG
rnacentral:rRNA from 1 species